GGGGGCGGGGGGAGGUGCUGCGGGCGUACCCUCCUUCCCCAGAGCCCUCUUCCCAGACUCGGAAUAAACCUCAAACUUGACCCGAGGAAGAGGGGCCGUGGGGAGUGCCUGGCCAAGGCCCUGUUGCCUGUGUGCUUGAGCCUGGGGAGGGGGUGGGCAGAGGAGGGUGGAGGGCGGACAGCAGGGUCAGAGCCAUCUGCUUGGUCUCCCCGUUUCCCUAGGCCAAAGUGAAUCAGCUCCGGGCCUCCUCCCCCUUCCUCUCUGUGGCGCUAAGGGCUGGGAAGAGCUGAGCUCAAGGACCCGUGGACCGAGCCUGAGAACGGGCUGAACCUGGAGACCCACCAAGGACAGAAACAAGGGACAGAAACCUAGGCGUCAGGUUCUCCAGGUCGCGGUGCUCGGACCUCAGGGGAGAGCAAACCUGGCUGCCCCCACCACCCUGACAUCUAGCCCCGCACGGCACUUCACAGGGGAGACCGCUGGGUCCUGAGAGGGGAAAGCCCGCACACCCUGACCGGGCACCCCCAGGCCAGGUUCCCGUCUGCCUCACGCUGUAUCCUAUUUCCAGGAUACAGAAGGAUACGCCUAGUUGGUGCUCGCUCAGCUGGUGCUCGGGAGAUGUUUGCUGAGCGGAUGCAUGAUUUAUUAACAGCUACCUUUGUGCCGGGUCCCCAGUACACAGAGAUGGGCAAGACAGGACAUGAGGCUCUGGGAUGGGAGCUCUGGCUAGGAGUGUGUGUUCACAUGCGUCUGUGUCCAUGUGUGUGUGCAUUCGUGUGUGUCCAUGUGCAUGUGUGUGUGCAUGUGUGUGCCCGUGGGGGUCUGCAUUCGUGUGGGUCCACGUGUGUGUGUCCAUGUGUGGGUCUCUGUGUGUGCAUUUGCAUGCGUCCUGUGUAUCGGCGUGUCAGGGACUCCUGUGUGCUUUCUGGCUCUUGGUCCAGGACUCUCUUCUCCAACGCAUGUUUCUUGACCUCAGGCAGGCCAGCCUACCCAGCUUGAACGUUUUGUGCUUCCUGGUCGAAGCUGGUGAGCGUGAAAACACCCAUGUCUCCUCAUCCUCAUCAAAACUAUAUUUCCUUUCUCAGAACAUUUGUCUCAAGAAAGUGCAAGGACCACCACCAGGAAGGAGCGCCCCUGGGCCUGGCCGCCAGGGGUGUCUACCAUAUAAAUCCGUUGUUCUGACAGAAAUCAGAGAAUACGAUUUUUAAUCAUCACGUCAGGAGAGUCUUACGAUGCAGCAGAUGAGGACUGACAGCAACCACACCACCAUGGAAGCUGGAAUCAUCUAAUUUUGCAAAUGUGGAAACUGAGCCACCAAGAGGGCAGAUGUUUCUCCCAAGGUCACAUUGAUGGCAAAGAAUUUCUGGGAUUCAAGCCCAGACAAUUUGGCUCCAAAAUCAGAUUUAUUAGCUCCUGUCGCUCAAGAAAAAACAUCAAGUACUUUUCAUUAUAUGUUUAUUAAAAGUGAUGUUGAAGUGGUUA